rnacentral:rRNA from 1 species
GGAAUUUUGGACAAUGGGCGCAAGCCUGAUCCAGCAAUGCCGCGUACAGGAAGAAGGCCUUCGGGUUGUAAACUGCUUUUGUACGGAACGAAACGGUCCUGGUUAAUACCUGGGGCUAAUGACGGUACCGUACGAAUAAGCACCGGCUAACUACGUGCCAGGAGCCGCGGUAAUACGGAGGGUGCAAGCGUUAAUCGGAAUUACUGGGCGUAAAGCGUGCGCAGGCGGUUGUGUAAGACAGGCGUGAAAUCCCCGGGCUUAACCUGGGAAGGGCGCUUGUGACUGAAAAGCUGGAGUGCGGCAGAGGGGGAUGGAAUUCCGCGUGUAGCAGUGAAAUGCGUAGAUAUGCGGAGGAACACCGAUGGCGAAGGCAAUCCCCUGGGACUGCACUGACGCUCAUGCACGAAAGCGUGGGGAGCAAA